CAGUCGCCGCGGGAACACGGAGGGGGCUAGCGUUGUUCGGAAUUACUGGGCGUAAAGCGCACGUAGGCGGCUUGGUAAGUUAGAGGUGAAAGCCUGGAGCUCAACUCCAGAAUUGCCUUUAAGACUGCCGAGCUAGCAGGUGAGAGAGGUAAGUGGAAUUCCGAGUGUAGAGGUGAAAUUCGUAGAUAUUCGGAAGAACACCAGUGGCGAAGGCGGCUUACUGGCUCAUACUGGACGCUGAGGUGCGAAAGCGUGGGGAGCAAACAGGAUUAGAUACCCGUGUAGUCCCUGUCUCUUAUAC
rnacentral:rRNA from 1 species